rnacentral:rRNA from 1 species
UACAGAGGUCCCAAGCGUUGUUCGGAUUCAUUGGGCGUAAAGGGUGCGUAGGUGGCGGGGUAAGUUGGAUGUGAAAUCCUGGGGCUCAACCCUAGAACUGCAUUCAAUACUGCCUUGCUGGAGUACUGGAGAGGAGAUUGGAAUUUACGGUGUAGCAGUGAAAUGCGUAGAUAUCGUAAGGAAGACCAGUGGCGAAGGCGGGUCUCUGGACAGUUCCUGACGCUGAGGCACAAAGGCCAGGGGAGCAAACGGG